GGUUUGUUCAGAGCACAAUGAUGACUAGAAGAAGAAUGGAUAAACCAGCCCUUGUGAGCAGCGAGAGCAUGGAUUGACUUGAAGCCAAGGACAAAGGUAAUAUGGGACAAGACGAAUGGAAUCAAUUGGCAAGGCGAAUUGUCCGAUAUGACAAUUAUCGUUUCCUUGGGUAAUUUACACCCCAUUUGUGAAAGUCUAAAAUGACUUGUAAUGACUCAGUGCUGCUGUUCAUGAGGUGUUUGCCGCUCUCCAAACAGUUGACUAUUUAUCAUUAAACACUUUUACCAAUUAGGAAAACUGCAGCUUGUACGAAAAUUUUGAUGAACACUGGAGCAGUCCUCACAGCACUACAAUUUAUUUUAGUCGUCUUUGAAUUAGCAAAGGAAAACACAACUUUAAAUUUCCACAACCAUUAGACAGCAACACUGUCAGAAAUGUGUAGCCUGUGGACGAGAAGAUGAGGUACAACUAUGAUCCUCCAGAAAUACACCAUCUGUUAAGGAUUCAUACCAGACCUCUGCUACUUAUUAUAUUUAACAAAAUAAAUCACUCCAGAGAGAUGUUCAUUCAACAAUGGCAGUGAGAGGUUAAUUUUUUGAAGAGGGGGAAAUUUCAAGGCGUUUUUGCAUAUAAAUAGUUUAAAAGCUGCUGUUUCCCCAGGGUGAAAAGUACAUUGUAUCACAACAACAGCAUUGCCAAAGUAACAGGACACCUCAAGACAUUUUACCAGAAGGCACUUCCCACAGUUUGAUUU